UUUUAGUCUUAAAUUUAAGACUUUUUAAGACCUUUUUAAGACCACUUUCAAUAAAAUUUAAGACCAACGUCGCACCUUCCCUGGUAUGCGUAUUAAUGAAAAAAUUGAAAAUCAAUCAAUCAAUCAAUCAAUCAAAUAAAUAACUUUAAUGAACAAUAUGCUCUGAGGACAACAGCUUUCAAAGAUCUGCUUCAACAUAACAUUCACCAUAUUUAAACACAAUAACUGUGUGAGGAGUGCAUGUAUGCACAUGCACACGUCUGUGGGUGCGCCUUUGUAUGGAUGUUUUUUCCCAAAGUAACCUACAGCCUGUCUACACUGUAUUUAAGUCAUUAAUUUAAGAACCAUUUAAAACAAUAACUGUGAGGGGUGUACGUGUGUGUAUGUUUGUGUGUGCGUGUGCCUGCAUUCGUCUGUGGGUGUGCCUGUGUGCGGUUGUUGCAAUCUACACUGUAUUUAAGUCCUAAGACAGAAUAAUUUAAAACAAUAACUGUGAGGGGUGUACGUGUGUGUGUGUGUUUGUGUGUGCGUGUGCCUGCAUUCGUCUGUGGGUGUGCCUGUGUGCAUUUCAAUAGAUCCUACAGCUUUUGGAGCUCAGCUCUUUUGGCAGCAAUCUGUUCGUCCAGUUUAAUGAGUUCAGCCAUCUUUUCCUUGUGGCUCCUUCUAAAGGCAUUCGAUUUUGCUAUUAGCUCCGCCAUCUUGCUGCCUGCUUGCUUGGCUUCAGCCUGGUCUGCCAACUUAUCAGCAUCCCUGAGCAGAUGUUCGGCUACCUCCUUGAUGGAUCUUCUGUGCUUUCUCAGUUGCUCCAGGUUCUCCUCAAUGGCCUUUCGUUUUUCUGACUCUGCUUGAGAUUCUCUCUUUUUUCUCUCCGUCUCAAGAUGAAUUCUAUAUCUUGCUCUGGAAGAUGAGACCGAGGAAAGCAGGGCUGGCGUGAGGGGGACCUUGGUAACCCCUCCAUGGAGAGAGAUGUAGUCACAGACGAUUCUCUGCGCUACAACGGUGUCUUCGUGAAUGUUAGCAGUUUCAAUUUCUUUGUUCACCGAAAAGCCCCGCUCAACUGUUGCCUGCCCGUGUGAUAGAAGUAGAAGCUUCUGGAUAAAGGACCAAAGUUGUGGUUCAGGGUUGCUGUACAUAAAGGCUGGGUUCAGACAAGUUAAUUGUCUAACAAUCGGAAACUUCAAAGGGCUCCUCUCCUGAAUCUUCUGGACCAUUUUGGAUAGACACUCCAUGCAUUGGUUUUGAAAAUGUAGGAUGGAAAGUUCCUCUGAGGAUUUACUCCGCUGUUGGAGUUCCUAAGGAUGAAUAAGGAAUAGCUGAAGUGAACUGUCCCUGAUUACAACACAACUGUUUACAACACAACUCUCCUUGCUCUUUCCCUUUAACCACCAAAUUGCAAUUUUGUGAAACGCCUACUUGUCGGCCAUGAUUAUUUCCAGAAUACCUUUAUGGCAGUCUCUGCACCAAUGCCGAUGUCCACUGCCUUUGGAUGCACCCUCGACUGCUUGUCAGUGACAUCAAGCCGUACCAAGUGCUGAGGUGUGACAUCAGUCAGUAGCUCUCGCUUGAUGAAUCGCCUCAGCAAAUUCUACAAAACAGGGAAAACAUAUCCGAGAAUGAAAAUGUCUUUGGGACACAGUAGCAUCAUUGUCACAAUACACUUGAACUAUUUGAAAUUGAUUAUAUAGAUGUAGUCUGUGGUCACAUAUUGGCCCAAAUCAACCAGCAGUAGUCUUAUUGUAAUGAAAAGAGAUGAUGUUAAAUAAAAAGACAUAUAUUCACACAGAUUCACUUAAAAGAUUCAGCUUACCUUCAGUAAUUCAGCCAAGUCAUUGGCAAAGAAUGGAAGCACAGGUUCAUCCGUUUGAUACUUUGUCAAGAAGGGUGUCACACUUCGUGAAACUGCCAUGAAAAAAUGCAGCUUUGCCAAAAUAAGAGGGUCUUUGGUUGCCACCUCGAUGGUGUCAUAAGAAGACGUUCCAGGGUUUGGGAGCUUCUUGGUUGUAACAGCAUCAAC